AAGGGGCUUCGGCCCUGAGUAGAGUGGCAAACGGGUGAGUAACGCGUGGGUGACCUACCUUCGAGUGGGGGAUAACGUUCCGAAAGGAGCGCUAAUACCGCAUGAAGUUCCGGGUUUGAACAUCUGGAAACCAAAGCCGGGGAUCGCAAGACCUGGCGCUUGGAGAGGGGCCCGCGUCUGAUUAGCUAGUUGGCGGGGUAAUGGCCCACCAAGGCGACGAUCAGUAGCCGGCCUGAGAGGGCGGACGGCCACACUGGGACUGAGACACGGCCCAGACUCCUACGGGAGGCAGCAGUGGGGAAUAUUGGACAAUGGGCGCAAGCCUGAUCCAGCCAUGCCGCGUGGGUGAUGAAGGCCCUAGGG
rnacentral:rRNA from 1 species